ACAAUGGAGAGUUUGAUCCUGGCUCAGGAUGAACGCUAGCUACAGGCUUAACACAUGCAAGUCGAGGGGAAACGACAUCGAAAGCUUGCUUUUGAUGGGCGUCGACCGGCGCACGGGUGAGUAACGCGUAUCCAACCUGCCCACCACUUGGGGAUAACCUUGCGAAAGUAAGACUAAUACCCAAUGAUAUCUCUAGAAGACAUCUGAAAGAGAUUAAAGAUUUAUCGGUGAUGGAUGGGGAUGCGUCUGAUUAGCUUGUUGGCGGGGUAACGGCCCACCAAGGCAACGAUCAGUAGGGGUUCUGAGAGGAAGGUCCCCCACAUUGGA
rnacentral:rRNA from 1 species